GACGAACGCUGGCGGCGUGCUUAACACAUGCAAGUCGAGCGGUAAGGCCCCUUUGGGGGUACACGAGCGGCGAACGGGUGAGUAACACGUGGGUGACCUGCCCUCAGCUCUGGGAUAAGCCUGGGAAACUGGGUCUAAUACCGGAUAUGACCAUAUGCUGCAUGGUGUGUGGUGGAAAGUCCUGGUCUUGGUUGAUUGGGGGCGGUUGGGGAUGGGCCCGCGGCUUAUCAGCUUGUUGGUGGGGUGAUGGCCUACCAAGGCGACGACGGGUAGCCGGCCUGAGAGGGCGACCGGCCACACUGGGACUGAGACACGGCCCAGACUCCUACGGGAGGCAGCAGUGGGGAAUAUUGCGCAAUGGGCGGAAGCCUGACGCAGCGACGCCGCGUGGGGGAUGACGGCCUCGG
rnacentral:rRNA from 1 species